rnacentral:rRNA from 1 species
GCCGCGGUAACACCGGCAGCUCUAGUGGUAACAAUUUUAUUGGGACCUAAAGCGUCCGUAGCCGGUUUAAUAAGUCUCUGGUGAAAUCCUGCAGCUUAACUGUGGGAAUUGCUGGAGAUACUAUUAGACUUGAGACCGGGAGAGGUUAGAGGUACUCCCAGGGUAGAGGUGAAAUUCUGUAAUCCUGGGAGGACCGCCUGUUGCGAAGGCGUCUAACUGGAACGGUUCUGACGGUGAGGGACGAAAGUUAGGGGCGCGAACCGGAUUAGAUACCCGGGUAGUCCUAACUGUAAACGAUGCGGACUUGGUGUUGGGGUGGCUUUGAGCUGCUUCAGUGCCGAAGGGAAGCUGUUAAGUCCGCCGCCUGGGAAGUACGGUCGCAGGACUGAAACUUAAAGGAAUUGGCGGGGGAGCACCACAACGCGUGGAGCCUGCGGUUUAAUUGGAUUCAACGCCGGACAUCUCACCAGAGGCGACAGCUGUAUGAUAGCCAGGUUGAUGACUUUGCUUGACUAGCUGAGUAGUGGUGCAUGG